CACGUAGGGACCAAGCGUUGUCCGGAUUCAUUGGGCGUAAAGAGCUCGUAGGCGGUUCGGUAAGUCGGGUGUGAGACCUCCAGGCUCAACCUGGAGACGCCACCCGAUACUGCUGUGACUAGAGUCCAGUAGGGGAGCGUGGAAUUCCUGGUGUAGCGGUGAAAUGCGCAGAUAUCAGGAGGAACACCAGCGGCGAAGGCGGCGCUCUGGGCCGGAACUGACGCUGAGGAGCGAAAGCGUGGGUAGCAAACAGG
rnacentral:rRNA from 1 species